UACGUAGCAGCGAGCGUUGUUCGGAGUUACUGGGCGUAAAGGGCGCGUAGGCGGCUUUGCAAGUCGGGUGUGAAAUCCCCAGGCUUAACCUGGGAACUGCAUUCGAGACUGCAUUGCUAGAGUAUGGGAGAGGGAAGUGGAAUUUCCGGUGUAGCGGUGAAAUGCGUAGAUAUCGGAAGGAACAUCAGUGGCGAAAGCGACUUCCUGGACCAAUACUGACGCUCAUGUGCGAAAGCGUGGGGAGCAAACAGG
rnacentral:rRNA from 1 species